rnacentral:rRNA from 1 species
ACGGCUCAGUAACACGUGGAUAACCUGCCCUUGGGUCUGGGAUAACCCCGGGAAACUGGGGAUAAUACCGGAUAACGCAUAUAUGCUGGAAUGCUUUAUGCGUAAAAUGGAUUCGUCUGCCCAAGGAUGGGUCUGCGGCCUAUCAGGUAGUAGUGGGUGUAAUGUACCUACUAGCCUACAACGGGUACGGGUUGUGAGAGCAAGAGCCCGGAGAUGGAUUCUGAGACAUGAAUCCAGGCCCUACGGGGCGCAGCAGGCGCGAAAACUUUACAAUGCGGGCAACCGUGAUAAGGGAACCUCGAGUGCCUGUAAAUGCAGGCUGUUCAGGUGCCUAAAACACACCUGAAGAAAGGGCCGGGCAAGACCGGUGCCAGCCGCCGCGGUAAUACCGGCGGCUCGAGUGGUGGCCGCUUUUAUUGGGCUUAAAGCGUUCGUAGCUGGGUUGUUAAGUCUCUUGGGAAAUCUGGCGGCUUAACCGUCAGGCGUCUAAGGGAUACUGGCAAUCUUGGAACCGGGAGAGGUGAGGGGUACUUCGGGGGUAGGAGUGAUAUCCUGUAAUCCUCGAGGGACCACCUGUGGCGAAGGCGCCUCACCAGAACGGCUUCGACAGUGAGGGACGAAAGCUGGGGGAGCAAACCGGAUUAGAUACCCGGGUAGUCCCAGCCGUAAACUAUGCGCGUUAGGUGUAUCGGUGACCACGAGUUACCGAGGUGCCGAAGGGAAACCGUGAAACGUGCCGCCUGGGAAGUACGGUCGCAAGGCUGAAACUUAAAGGAAUUGGCGGGGGAG